rnacentral:rRNA from 1 species
GACGAACGCUGGCGGCGUGCUUAACACAUGCAAGUCGAACGGAAAGGCCCUGCGUUUGUGCGUUGCUCGAGUGGCGAACGGGUGAGUAACACGUGAGUAACCUGCCCCUGACUUUGGGAUAACUUCACGAAACUGGGGCUAUUACCGGAUAGGAGAUCUUGCUGCAUGGGGGGGGUUGGAAAGUUGCGGCUGUGGGGUCUCGACUCGCGGGUUAUGAGCUGGUUUGUGAGGUAGUUGCUUACCAAGGCUAUGACGGAUAGGCGGCCUGAGAGGGUGACCGGGGACCUUAGUGCUACGAUACGGAGCAGAAUACUAAGGGAGGCAGCAGUGGAGAAUAUUACACAAUGGGCGGAAGCCAGAUGCAGCAACCCCGCGUGCGGGAUGCUGUCAUUCGAGUUAUAAACCGCUUUCGCAUGUACCAAGGAGUGAGUGACGGUAAUGGGUCAAGAAGCAACGGCUAACUACGUG